rnacentral:rRNA from 1 species
UACGGAGGGUGCAAGCGUUAUCCGGAUUCACUGGGUUUAAAGGGUGUGUAGGCGGAUAAUUAAGUCAGUGGUGAAAUCUCCGGGCUCAACCCGGAAACUGCCGUUGAUACUAUUUAUCUUGAAUUCUGUUGAGGUGGGCGGAAUACAUCAUGUAGCGGUGAAAUGCUUAGAUAUGAUGUAGAACACCGAUUGCGAAGGCAGCUCACUAAGCAGCGAUUGACGCUGAGGCA